ensembl:snRNA U6 U6 spliceosomal RNA
AUACUUAGGCAGCACAUAUACUAAAAUUGGAAUGAUACAGAGAAGAUUUGCAUGGCCCCUAUGCAAGUAUGACAUGCAAAUUCAUGUAUUCAUUCCACACAUAU